UGCAAGUUCUCUGAGCUCCUCGAGAAGAUCGACCGCCGUACCGGCAAGUCCAUUGAGGCCAGCCCCAAGUUCAUCAAGUCUGGUGACGCCGCCAUCGUCAAGAUGGUUCCCUCCAAGCCCAUGUGCGUUGAGGCCUUCACCGACUACCCCCCUCUUGGACGUUUCGCCGUCCGUGACAUGCGCCAGACCGUUGCCGUCGGUGUCAUCAAGAGCGUUGAGAAGUCCG
rnacentral:misc_RNA from 1 species